rnacentral:rRNA from 1 species
UCGAGAAUUUCUCUCAAUGGGGGAAACCCUGAAGGAGCGACGCCGCGUGGAGGAUGAAGGUUUUCGGAUUGUAAACUCCUGUCAUCUGGGAGCAAUGCUAGUCCAUUAACUGUGGGCUAGUUGAUAGUACCGGAAGAGGAAGAGACGGCUAACUCUGUGCCAGCAGCCGCGGUAAUACAGAGGUCUCAAGCGUUGUUCGGAUUCAUUGGGCGUAAAGGGUGCGUAGGCGGCGAGGUAAGUCUGGUGUGAAAUCCUGGGGCUCAACCCCAGAAUGGCACUGGAUACUGCCUUGCUAGAGGACUGGAGAGGAGAUUGGAAUUCACGGUGUAGCAGUGAAAUGCGUAGAUAUCGUGAGGAAGACCAGUGGCGAAGGCGGAUCUCUGGACAGUUCCUGACGCUGAGGCACGAAGGCUAGGGGAGCAAACGG